rnacentral:lncRNA from 1 species
GUCAAAGGGAAGAUUGCGAAUCCAGCAGACUGAGACCCCAUCUCUUGAAUAUCAUCGGAACAGGCACAAGCACGCAUCUAGCACCAACACGGCAUAGGGUUCACAGCAACAUAUUUUAGGUCCCAUGAGAUGUAUGAGAUGUUCAGAAGUGCAAACCAGCAUAGAUUUAGGGUCCAGCAUGACUGCUACUUUCUCAUAAGAGGACUGCCUUUGAUCCAUGUGAAGCUGAUGGCAUUGGUGCUGUUCUAGCAAGAAAUAUGAC